GAAGAUGGAGACACGUGUCUGAGUUGCCCAAAGACACCAGCAGCCUGUCCCCAAAGGUCUGUCCCCAAGGGUCUGUCCCUGACUCUAGGGGUGCGGGCGUAUCUGUUCUCAGCACUGACAGCAAACGACAGAAAAGCCUACCUCAAUAUAAUGUGUAAGUCUCAGCACCUAAGGGAAAGGCUGCUUUGGUUUACUGCUGAGAAAACAAUGUUUGAUAACUAGAGAAAGAUACUCCCAGUGGAAGAAGGCACCUUGAUUACAUAUCUUAGGGGGAAAAAAAAAAUCCCAUAUCUGUCCAUGGAUGUCCAGCCACAGAAUUUAAUGCCUGUGCCGAAGUGACAAGAAAGAGUCCCAGCCUGAUCCUUCCAAUCUCAGCGGAGUCUCACCGAAGACAGACAGCCGUAAUUUAGUGAGAAAAGAUGCUCAGUUUUGGGCUGGAGUUUGCAAAUCAAUACAAUGUGUUGGCUCGCUCGGAACUUCCCCGUUUUGUUAAGGAUUACAUUUCUACAUGGUUUGCAGACUAGAUGUUAAUCAGUGGCUGUUGGCCAGAAAGGGCCAACCUUACCGGCAAAUAAAUGCAUUUAAGAUGUUAGAGGCUGACCGACAGGAGUACGUACGCGGAGACCCGGAGAAUAUGAAACCGGUUAAGAACUCAAAGGUCAUUUUGUUCGGGGCAAAAUUCUUGUGCAUGGCGCUGACAGUUUGCCCUCUGGGUGUUUUCGGAGCUUAAAGGAUCAAACUCGUCCACAUGAAAUAUGGAAUGUCUAAUACCGAAGCCUCAUGCUCGCCUCCAGCCCAACCUUUUGGCCCUGUAAUGAACACGGCUCCAGCUUCCUGUCGGAUCCCACCCGGCCACAGCCCGGUGUAGGCACGGCCUCCUUGAACUCACGCGCUGGUACCCUCGAGGAUGUUCCCAGGCUAGGGGUUGAAUCAGAGCUGUAGCCACCGGCCUACGCCAGAGCCACAGCAACGAGGGAUCCGAGCCGCGUCUGCAACCUACACCACAGCUCACGGCAACGCCGGAUCCUUAACCCGCUGAGCAAGGGCAGGGAUCGAACCCGCAACCUCAUGGUUCCUAGUCGGAUUCGUUAACCACUGCACCAUGACGGGAACUCCCGAAAUGUUGGUUUUAACAACGACGAGUUACCCAGACACACAGAUUAUGUGUAGGUGACCAAUUCAAGCAAGUGAAGUUUGCUGUGGAGUCACCUCCGUCCCUUCUUGCUGACCUCCACCGGCCCUCUUGGGGUCUGUCACCUGGAGGCUGAGCCCCUGGGACUCCCUCAUUCAGCUGCGGAAUCCUCGUGCUCUGGGGCUGCCUCCCUCCCAACUCCACGUUUCUGAGCUAAAGGUGUUUUUCAGAAAUAAUAUUAUUGAAAUAUCGGACUAUUAUUACAAUUUAUUAACAUCUUCAGUCGUUAUGAUUUCUCUGUAUAUAUUUAGCUUCUAGGUAGUUUUAUGCAUAUACCAUGUAAUGCAUUUCUUUUUCUUUUUUUUGGCCGCACCCACAGCAUUUGGAAGUUCCCAGGCCAGGGGCUGAAUAGAAGCUGCAGCUGCCAGUCUACACCACAGCCACAGCAACACCAGACCCAACCUGCCUCUACAACCUCCACUGCAGCUCACAGCAAUGCCGGAUCCUUAACCCACUGAGCAAGGCCAGGGAUCGAACCUGCGUCUUUAUACAGACAGUGUUGGCUUCUUAAGCUGCUGAGCUACAAUGGGAACUCCACUAAAGGUGCUGAUGAACCUUAAGGGCUUAAAGUGAUCCUUCUUUGUUGAGCUUUCCAUGUCCAAGAAUGCUUCAGUGCCUUAAAACUUAAACCAAGCACAGGAGUCCCGGGGGAUUCUAGGCGCCAAGGACCAUAGCAUAUCUUUGGGCAAAGGGGCUUUUGGUCUUUGAGCAUCCAGUACAGCCCCCUCUGUUGCAUAAUCAUAUCAGCUAAUGCAUAGACCGGCCCCUGAGUUAGGACACAUAACAAUUGUUUGAAGCAAUUGUUUUAUCGCGUCAGGAGGUCACUCUCCUUAAACCAGUGACUAGCCCCCAUGUCUACAGGCUGGGGGCGGGUGUCACCCCAAAUCUUGAGCACGGACGAUGUGCUUUACACAUGCUUCUCACUUAAUUAUCCCAAUGGUCCUAGGACGUAGGUCUUUCUAGUUUUCAUCCCCGGUUUGCACAGGGGGACAAAGCUUAGAGACACUAAACCAGUAAUAAACGCACAGCUUGGCAGACUCCAGAGCUGGGAGGCUGCGUUCAUCUCUCCAGGCUGAGCAGCCUCUCUGCCCCAGUCGAAACCAAGAGCUGAAGAAAGAAAGAAAGCUGUGCUCCCAGGUCCUCUGGCUCUGGGACUUAUUUUUGGCGGGGGGAGUGGGGUAGGGAGGGGAAGAUUGUUCCAUUGGUUUUGGAGGCUGAGUGAUUCAUCUUGCAGUUUUUCCCUUAAAAGGCAGCCUCACCAUUUAACCCUCUCUCCCGAGAGGUUACUGGCCCAGCACCUCACGGCAGGCAGAGGUUAAAACUGGGGUGAAAACUCACAGGCAGAGCUCAGGGCUGGUGUCCUUCAGGGAAAGUCUUUGGUGGAGGCAGGUUAUGUGUACACUGGGUUGCUGGCUGGCCAUCGGUGGUCUUUGGGAGCCCAGCAUUACUGCAAUGUGGAAACUUGGGUUUUAAAAUCCCCUUCCAGUGAAGUUCCUGCUGUGGCACAGCGGGUGAUGGAUCCGUUGCAGCUGUGGUGGAGGUGGCAGAUGCAGCUCAGAUUCGAUCCCUGGCCUGGAAACGUCCAUAGGGCAUGUGUGUGGCCAGAAAAUUAAAAAAAAAAAAAAAAAAGGGAAAAAUGAUAAAUAAAUCCCCUUCCAAGGACAGAACCUCUAAUUCAAAAAGAUACACAUACCCUGAUGUUCAGUGCAGCCCUAUGUACAAUAGUCAGCACAUGGAAGCAACCUACAUGUCCAUCAACAGAGGAAUGGAUAAAGAAGAUAUGGUCCAUAUACACAAUGGAAUACUACUCAGCCAUGAAAAAGAAUGAAAAUUAGCCAUUUGCAGCAACAUGGAUGGACCUAGAGAUGAUCAUACUAAGUGAAGUAAGUCAGACAGAGAAAGACAAAUAUUCCACAAUAUCCUUUAUAUGUGGAAUCUAAAAAAAAUAUAUAAAUGAACUUAUUUUAUAAAGCAGAAACAGACUCACAGACAUGGAAAACAAAAUCAUGGCUACCAAAGGGGAAAGGGGGGGCAAAUUAGGAGUUUGGGAUUAGCAAACACACACUGCUAUGUGUAAAAUCGACAAAAAUCAAGCACCUACCUAGAGCACAGGGAACUGUCUUCAAUAUUUUUUAAUAACCUAUAAGGGGAAAGAAUCUGAAAAAAAAAAUAGGUACAUAAGUAGGUAUAACUGAAUCGCUUUGCUGUUUCAGGCUAACGUUCUCCCAACUGAGUGAUUUCGGUGCCUGAAUCACUUUGCUGUUUAUCUGAAAUGUAUGCAAUAUUGUCAACAAACAAAACUUCAAUAAGAAAAAAAAAA
rnacentral:lncRNA from 9 species